GUCUACAACUAUACCCUGAAAGUGCCCGAUCUCAUCUGAUCUCAGAAGCUAAGCAGGGUCUGGCCUGGUUAGUACUUGGAUGAGAGACUGCCUGGGAAUACCUGGUGUUUUAGGUA
rnacentral:rRNA from 1 species